ensembl:lncRNA
AUUUCAGUCCAAGAAAAUACAUUCAAAUUUGUCACAGCAGAUGAAAUACUUUAUUUGUCAUCUAUAGGACAUGUGAACACAUGACACAUUUGAAUAAAAAUACUGUAUAUUUUAUUGAGCUUUCUAUUUAAUAUACAGUUUUACAAUUAUUUACAUUUAUGCAUUUAGCAGUUACAGUGCAUUCAGGCUAACUUUUUUUGGUCUAACUGAAAUAAUCCUCUAUUUCAUUGGUGGCUUUAAAGUAGACUUGUAUAUCUCACUGACACUGUGAUUUCUCUGUGACAGAAUAAAAACAUGGAGCUUUCCAUGGAGAACGGAUAUGUGCUCCUCAAAUUCCAGGAGAGCGUCUGGAAAUCUACUAAGCAGUACAUGGAUGGAAAAUGGCAUUAUCUCACUGUUUUCAUUCAGGGCCAAAACAUUGAACUUCGCAUCGAUGAAGAUGAUGUUGGCAAGAGUGUGAUAGGAUCUCCAUCUGGACCGUAUUCUUCCAGCGUGAUCCUGGCCAAAGACACCUUCGAGGGCUGCAUCUCCAACCUGCAUCUGAGGAGGUCAUUAUUAACUUUUUAAGUCUCCACUUGCUUAAACCUCCUCAUAAACCUGUGUUUACACGGUCUCUUGGUUUAUACCAGUGAGCGUGUGUGCUGUGUGUCAGCUCAUGUGUGUGUUUGUGUGUUUGCAGACCUGACACUUUUAACAGAGCGGAGGAUCUGAGCACUUACUCUUCCACAGGAGACGUGAUGUUGAACACAUGCAGUGCCACACGCAAUAUCUAGCUGCACAGCUAUUAGCAGGUUGGUUUAUCAUCACCAUUAAAACAACAUGACAGCACUGUGACAGCAAACUCAGUGUCUGUUUUGUGUUCUUUGCUUCCAGAGACGAGGAGUAUCUGACACAGACAUAGAGAUCUUUGGAAGAAACGCUGUUAUAUUACAGCACGACCAACUCACUUUAACCAUCUGCUGGAUUUCAUUGUUUCAUUUGCAUAAUUAAAGAUAUUUUCACGGCAUAUCUGUGCUCGUUUUCAUUUCACGGUCCCAUUAGAGAUGAGAUGAACUGUUGUGCAGUACUGGAAAGGUUUGCUGUGUUUUUGAGCUCAUCUAAACUGGCUUCAGAAUGUUUGCCUGCACUUUUACACAUCAGGUUUAUUUCUCAACUGUUCACUUAAGACGUAACUGACGGUGUAAACAAGAAAACUCACCAAGACGGGUAUUUUGACAAUUGUUUGUGUAUUUGUCCAGUCAAGUCUAGGCAGACGUGAAAUAGAAC